rnacentral:rRNA from 1 species
GAGUUUGAUCUUGGCUCAGGAUGAACGUUAGCGGCGUGCCUAACACAUGCAAGUCGAACGAACAGCCAGAAUCUUAGGAAUCUGGCGGGUUAGUGGCGCACGGGUGAGUAACACGUAGGUGACCUGCCCCGAAGUGGGGGGGCGAACCACUGGAAACAGUGGCUAAUACCGCAUGUGCUUAGCCAUUCGGUUGGCUAAGUAAAGCUGAGGCGCUUCGGGAGGGGCCUGCGGUCGAUUAGCUAGUUGGUGAGGUAAUGGCUCGCCAAGGCGAUGAUCGAUAGGGGGCGUGAGAGCGUGACCCCCCACCACUGGGACUGAGACACGGCCCAGACUCCUACGGGAGGGCAGCAGUGAGGAAUAUUGCACAAUGGGCGCAAGCCUGAUGCAGCAACGCCGCGU